CGAAAGCCUGACGGAGCAAUGCCGCGUGAGGGAGGAAGGUCUCUGGGCUGUAAACUUCUUUUCUCAGGGAAGAAGAUCUGACGGUACUUGAGGAAUAAGCCUCGGCUAAUUCCGUGCCAGCAGCCGCGGUAAUACGGGUGUGGCAAGCGUUAUCCGGAAUUAUUGGGCGUAAAGCGUCCGCAGGCGGCCCUUCAAGUCUGCUGUUAAAACGUGGAGCUCAACUCCAUCAUGGCAGUGGAAACUGUUGGGCUAGAGUGUGGUAGGGGCAGAGGGAAUUCCCGGUGUAGCGGUGAAAUGCGUAGAUAUCGGGAAGAACACCAGUGGCGAAAGCGCUCUGCUGGGCCACACUGACGCUCAUGGACGAAAGCCAGGUAGCG
rnacentral:rRNA from 1 species